ensembl:lncRNA
AUACAGACAGCACUAGCAGUCUGUGGGCGAAGGUCUCACAUGCAGGCAGCACUAGCAGUCUGUGGGCGAAGGUCUCACAUGCAGGCAGCACUAACAGUCUGGGGGUGAAGGUCUCACAUGCAGGCAGCACUAACAGUCUGGGGGCGAAGGUCUCACAUGCAGGCAGCACUAACAGUCUGGGGGCGAAGGUCUCACAUGCAGGCAGCACUAACAGUCUGUGGGUGAAGGUCUCACAUGCAGGCAGCACUAACAGACUGUGGGCGAAGGUCUCACAUGCAGGCAGCACUAACAGUCUGUGGGCGAAGGCCUCACAUGCAGGCAGCACUAACAGUCUGUGGG